UACGGGGGGGGCAAGCGUUGUUCGGAAUUACUGGGCGUAAAGGGCUCGUAGGCGGCCAACUAAGUCAGACGUGAAAUCCCUCGGCUUAACCGGGGAACUGCGUCUGAUACUGGAUGGCUUGAAUCCGGGAGAGGGAUGCGGAAUUCCAGGUGUAGCGGUGAAAUGCGUAGAUAUCUGGAGGAACACCGGUGGCGAAGGCGGCGACCUGGGUAGAUACUGACGCUGAGACGCGAAAGCGUGGGGAGCGAACAGG
rnacentral:rRNA from 1 species